GGCUCCGUGGCUUAAUGGUUACGCCUUCUGCCUCACAAGCAGAAGGUUCAGGGAUCAAAUCCCGGUCGGUACCU
rfam:Culex pipiens quinquefasciatus supercont3.772 genomic scaffold, whole genome shotgun sequence.